rnacentral:rRNA from 1 species
AACGAACGCUGGCGGCAUGCCUAACACAUGCAAGUCGAACGAGACCUUCGUGUCUAGUUGCUCACGGGUGCGUAACGCGUGGGAAUCUACCCUCAGGUUCGGAAUAACUCAGAGAAAUUUGAGCUAAUACCGGAUGAUGACGUAAGUCCAAAGAUUUAUCGCCUGAGGAUGAGCCCGCGUAGGAUUAGGUAGUUGGUGAGGUAAAGGCUCACCAAGCCGAGGAUACUUAGCUGGUCUGAGAGGAUGAUCAGCCACACUGGGACUGAGACACGGCCCAGACUCUUACGGGAGGGAGCAGAGGGGAAUAUAGGAAAAUGGGCGAAAGGAUGAUCCAGCAAGGCCGGGUGAGUGAUGAAGGCGUGAGGGAAGUAAAGCUCGUUUACACGGGAUGAUAAUGACAGUACCGGGAGAAUAAGCACCGGCUAACUCCGUG